AGUCGAGCGACGCAUGCCGGAGGGGUAACCCACUGGUAUGACGGAGCGGCGAACGGGUGAGUAACACCAACCUGCCCCACAGACCGGAACAGCCCAGGGAAACCUGGAUUAAUGCCGGAUGACCUCAUCGGACCACAUGGCCUGAUGAGGAAAUGCCUUUGUGCUGUGGGAUGGGCUCGCGGCUUAUCAGCUAGUUGGUGGGGUAACGGCCUACCAAGGCGUCGACGAGUAGCUGGUUUGAGAGGACGAUCAGCCACACUGGGACUGAGAUGCGGCCCAGACUCCUACGGGAGGCAGCAGCAGGGAAUCUUGCGCAAUGGGCGAAAGCCUGACGCAGCAACGCCGCGUGGGGGAUGACGGCCUUCGGGUUGUAAACCCCUUUCAGGAGGGAAGAAAUUGACGGUACCUCCAAAAGAAGCACCGGCCAACUACGUGCCAGCAGCCGCGGUAAUACGUAGGGUGCGAGCGUUAUCCGGAAUCAUUGGGCGUAAAGAGCUCGUAGGCGGUUCAGCAAGUCGGCUGUGAAAGUCCGAGGCUCAACCUCGGAACUGCAGUCGAUACUGCUGUGACUCGAGUCCGGUAGAGGAGAAUGGAAUUCCCGGUGUAGCGGUGAAA
rnacentral:rRNA from 1 species